AUACGUAGGGGGCGAGCGUUGUCCGGAAUGAUUGGGCGUAAAGGGCGCGUAGGCGGCCCGGUAAGUCUGGAGUGAAAGUCCUGUUUUUAAGAUGGGAAUUGCUUUGGAUACUGUCGGGCUUGAGUGCAGGAGAGGUAAGUGGAAUUCCCAGUGUAGCGGUGAAAUGCGUAGAGAUUGGGAGGAACACCAGUGGCGAAGGCGACUUACUGGACUGUAACUGACGCUGAGGCGCGAAAGUGUGGGGAGGAAACAGGAUUAGAUACCCUGGUAGUCCACUCUGUAAACGAUGAAUGCUAGGUGUAGGGGGUAUCGACCCCUUCUGUGCCGCAGUCAACACAAUAAGCAUUCCGCCUGGGGAGUACGGCCGCAAGGUUGAAACUCAAAGGAAUUGACGGGG
rnacentral:rRNA from 1 species